rnacentral:rRNA from 1 species
GACGAACGCUGGCGGCGUGCUUAACACAUGCAAGUCGAACGGAAAGGCCCCCUUGUGGGGUACUCGAGUGGCGAACGGGUGAGUAACACGUGAGUAACCUACUCUUGACUUUGGGAUAACUUCAGGAAACUGGGGCUAAUACCGGAUAGGAGCUCCUGCUGCAUGGUGGGGGUUGGAAAGUUUCGGCGGUUGGGGAUGGACUCGCGGCUUAUCAGCUUGUUGGUGGGGUAGUGGCUCACCAAGGCUUUGACGGGUAGCCGGCCUGAGAGGGUGACCGGCCACAUUGGGACUGAGAUACGGCCCAGACUCCUACGGGAGGCAGCAGUGGGGAAUAUUGCACAAUGGGCGGAAGCCUGAUGCAGCAACGCCGCGUGCGGGAUGACGGCCUUCGGGUUGUAAACCGCUUUCGCCUGUGACGAAGCGUGAGUGACGGUAAUGGGUAAAGAAGCACCGGCUAACUACGUG